rnacentral:tRNA from 1 species
GCGGGCGUGGCGGAAUUGGUAGACGCACUGGAUUUAGGUUCCAGCGCCGCAAGGCGUGGGGGUUCAAAUCCCUCCGCCCGCA